UUGCAUUUGAUCACAAAAAAUGUAACAUUCUUCCUCAAGUUUUUAAAGAUAUGAGUAAGGAGAAAACUAUGAUGAUUCCCAAAUCCAACUAAUCAUCAGCAUUACUUAGAGUUCUUCUAAAAAAUUCUGUCUCCCCGACAUUGCCCCUGGAGGUUCUGAUUCAGCAAGUCUGAAGAGAAGCCCAGGAUCAGCUAGUUUGGGAAGCAUUCUCUGGCCUGUAUCAUGUUGACUGCUUAACAGGUCUUAUAUCUUUAUCUGAAUUUCUUUAUGGUGUCUUAAACCAAGCUGUUUGUGAGUUCAGAUCUGUGUGUGUUGUCAGCAUGAAUGAUAACUGAGGUUUCAAAGUAAGAACAUGAUUAUGACAUCAUGGAACUUGUUCUUGACCUCAGGUGGUGUGAAAUAAUGGAAGUUCAUCCAGUUCAUCCAGUAAAUAUUUACUGAGCCCUUACUCUGUGUCAGACACAGUUCUAUGUGCCAGUGAUGUAGAGUGAAUACAGUAGGAAAACAUUCCUGUUCUCAUGCAGCUGACAUUGUAGUAGAGGGAGACAGGACAAAAGUAAAUACAUACAAUGUACGGAAAGAAGGCUAUGAAAAAAGUUAAGGGAGAUGCUAUAACGAAGUGGCCACGAACAUUCAUAUGCAAGUUUUUGCGUGGACCUGCACUUUUAUUUCUCUUGGGUAAAUACCUAGGAGUGGAAUGGCUGGAUCAUAUGACCUGUGUGUGAAAGGAAACACGAAAGAUCUUUCUUCCUCAUCCCAAGAAGCAGCACCUACCACCAUUCUCAACAAGAAAUAUCUAUGUUAUGGUCACCGACAAGAGUUUACCACCUCGCAACGUCGUGUUGUUACUGAAUUGUUUAUUGUCAGUCUCCCCAGUGUGCACGUUGGCUCCAAGACUGAGACUUCCUCUCUCUUUUCGUCUCUCUAUCUUGGGAAUCUAGAAGGGUGCCUAGCACAUUUGUUGAAUGAAUGAAUAAAGGAAUGAGUUUUUCAAAUGUCGAUUAUGUAAUAUCUCAUUUUUCUCCUCUUUUGAAUAAGGGAAAUAACAUCUCUCUUACAAGAAUAUUGUGAAGAUUAGGUGAUAAAAGAUAGGAAUAUUCCCAACCUCAUUAUUAGAAAAAUAUUGGUUCCAUUUUCUCUCCUCUAAAGAGUGGUUCUCCA
rnacentral:lncRNA from 1 species